AACACGUGAGCAACCUGCCCCUGACUCUGGGAUAAGCGCUGGAAACGGCGUCUAAUACUGGAUACGAACCAUGAAGGCAUCUUCAGUGGUUGGAAAGAUUUAUUGGUUGGGGAUGGGCUCGCGGCCUAUCAGCUUGUUGGUGAGGUAAUGGCUCACCAAGGCGUCGACGGGUAGCCGGCCUGAGAGGGUGACCGGCCACACUGGGACUGAGACACGGCCCAGACUCCUACGGGAGGCAGCAGUGGGGAAUAUUGCACAAUGGGCGCAAGCCUGAUGCAGCAACGCCGCGUGAGGGAUGACGGCCUUCGGGUUGUAAACCUCUUUUAGCAGGGAAGAAGCGAAAGUGACGGUACCUGCAGAAAAAGCACCGGCUAACUACGUGCCAGCAGCCGCGGUAAUACGUAGGGUGCAAGCGUUAUCCGGAAUUAUUGGGCGUAAAGAGCUCGUAGGCGGUUUGUCGCGUCUGCUGUGAAAUCUGGGGGCUCAACCCCCAGCCUGCAGUGGGUACGGGCAGACUAGAGUGCG
rnacentral:rRNA from 1 species